rnacentral:sRNA from 1 species
CUUCAAGGUAAGGUUCGGUUAAGCUUUAUAAGUCUUUACUAUGAACAUCCAGACAUUCUGGAUUUGACAGCUUGACCUCGGGUCAUUCUGUCUGACGCCUCCCUGUUUAACUCUUGAGAGCCGCUGAUGCGGCUCUUUUUUU